CGGGAAGGGGGACAUCACACACCGGGGCCUAUUGUGGGGAGGGAUUGCAUUGGGAGUUAUACCUGAUAUAAAUGACGAGUUGAUGGGUGCUGACGAGUUGAUGGGUGCAGCACACCAACAUGGCAUAUGUAUACAUGUGUAACAAACCUGCACGUUAUGCACAUGUACCCUAGAACUUAAAGUAUAAUAAUAAUAAUAAUAAGAUGCACCUGUUUAAAGCAAAAAAAAAAAAAAAAAAAAAGAGUGCUCCUCCUUUCUUCUGUGAGCAGGCCAAAUGGAUUUGAUUAUCAAGGGCCAAGUUCACGGGAAGAGGAGAAGGGUAAUGAAUAGGUUGGGGCACUCUUGCUUUGCCUAACCUUAUUAAAAGAAGCCCAAUUUUGUUUGGAAGGCAACUCCUAGCCCCAGGUGAGAAAACAGGAUUAAAGUAAUUACAGUAUCCUAUUUCUCUUUGCCAGUGAUUGGUUUAGGGAACUGGGCAUAUGACCUGAUUCUGGCCUGUGAGAUACAAGGGGGGGAUGUUUGCUGGGUGACUUUCAGUUUUCUUCUGUAAUAAGAGAGGUUUGUAUUAACAGAAGGUCCUUUCCCACCAGUCCUCUUCCUUCCUACUUGGAUUACUAUGGUGUGAGGAUGUCAUGCCUGGAGCUUUGGCAGCCAUUUUGUGACCCUGAGAUGAAGGCCCAUACAAUUGCAAGGAGGUUACACAACCUUAGAGCUACCUAUCUCUUGACAUUUUGUCAGGAACUGUCUCUGCCCGUGGGGAUGGACAGUAGCUUCUAGCCUAGAGGAGCCCUCUGAGGUAGGUCACGCUCCAGUUGGAGUUGGGUGUGUUCCACUUUGGUGGGGAUCCUUUCAACUUGGACAGGGGCCCCCCACCCAUAGCUCAUGGGCAUAGAUGCAGUGCACCACCCGCAAUCACCUCAGGUCACCUCUGAUGAAUAUUCCACCCAUGGGGUAAUCUGAUCCCUUCCUUCCAACCAACAUCAUCUUCUUCCAUGCCAUGCCACACACAUUAACCUCCAGGAACAUUUGUGUGUCUUCUUUUGAAAAACGUCAGUUCAGAUCUUUUGCCCAUUGUUAAUUAGAUCAUUAGAUUGUUUUUCCUAUAGUGUUGUUUGAG
rnacentral:lncRNA from 1 species